AGGUGUCUUGCGGUUGUGCA
rnacentral:siRNA from 1 species